AAAUAUUAAUUGUCUGCAUGGAUGAUUAUAAAGUUCUGGCGCUGAAGGAUGAGCGUGCGUCUGAUUAGCUAGUUGGUAGGGUAACGGCCUACCAAGGCGACGAUCAUAGGGGGCGUGAGAGCGUGACCCCCCACACGGGUACUGAGACACGGACCCGACUCCUACGGGAGGCAGCAGUAAGGAAUAUUGGGCAAUGGAGGCAACUCUGACCCAGCCAUCCCGCGUGAAGGAUUAAGGCCCUAUGGGUUGUAAACUUCUUUUGUUUGGGAAGAAAUCUGGACAUUUAUGUGCAGUUGACGGUACCUUACGAAUAAGCACCGGCUAACUCCGUG
rnacentral:rRNA from 1 species